GACGAACGCUGGCGGCGUGCUUAACACAUGCAAGUCGAACGGAAAGGCCCUGCUUUUGUGGGGUGCUCGAGUGGCGAACGGGUGAGUAUCACGUGAGUAACCUGCCCUUGACUUUGGGAUAACUUCAGGAAACUGGGGCUAAUACCGGAUAGGAGCUCCUGCUGCAUGGUGGGGGUUGGAAAGUUUCGGCGGUUGGGGAUGGACUCGCGGCUUAUCAGCUUGUUGGUGGGGUAGUGGCGUACCAAGGCUUUGACGGGUAGCCGGCCUGAGAGGGUGACCGGCCACAUUGGGACUGAGGUACGGCCCAGAGUCCUACGGGGGGCAGCAGUGGGGAAUAUUGCGCAAUGGGCGGAGGCAGGAUGCAGCAACGCCGCGUGCGGGAUGACGGCCGUCGGGUUGUAAACCGCUUUCGCCUGUGACGAAGCGUGAGUGACGGUAAUGGGUAAAGAAGCACCGGCUAACUACGUG
rnacentral:rRNA from 1 species